rnacentral:rRNA from 1 species
GGAGUUUGGUCCGUGUCUCAGUACCAAUGUGGGGGACCUUCCUCUCAGAACCCCUACUGAUCGUUGCCUUGGUGGGCCGUUACCCCGCCAACAAGCUAAUCAGACGCAUCCCCAUCCCUUAGCGGUAAACCUUUGCUUUCCAUCAGAUGCCAUCCAGAAAGAACAUAGAGUAUUAAUCCGACUUUCGCCGGGCUGUCCUCUAGUAAGGGGAAGGUUGGAUACGCGUUACUCACCCGUGCGCCGGUCGCCAUCAAAGGAAGCAAGCUUCCUUCAUGCUGCCCCACGACUUGCAUGUGUUAAGCCUGUAGCUAGCGUUCAUC